GAGUUUGAUCCUGGCUCAGAACGAACGCUGGCGGCAGGCUUAACACAUGCAAGUCGAACGGGUGUAGCAAUACAUCAGUGGCAGACGGGUGAGUAACACGUGGGAACCUUCCUCGUUGUACGGGACAACUCAGGGAAACUUGAGCUAAUACCGUAUACGUCCGAGAGGAGAAAGAUUUAUCGCAAUGAGACGGGCCCGCGUCGGAUUAGCUAGUUGGUGGGGUAACGGCCUACCAAGGCGACGAUCCGUAGCUGAUCUGAGAGGAUGAUCAGCCACACUGGGACUGAGACACGGCCCAGACUCCUACGGGAGGCAGCAGUGGGGAAUCUUGGACAAUGGGCGCAAGCCUGAUCCAGCCAUGCCGCGUGAGUGAAGAAGGCCUUAGGGUUGUAAAGCUCUUUUGCCAGGGACGAUAAUGACGGUACCUGGAGAAUAA
rnacentral:rRNA from 1 species